rnacentral:lncRNA from 1 species
UGUUUACAUGUAAUAUUCUUCUUCGGGGGCUUUGUACAGAAGGUAUGCUUGAUAAUGCUCUUAAGCUCUUCAACACAUGGAUUUCAAAGGGAAAAGCUAUUGAUGCUGUUACCUACAACACGAUAAUAUCAGGCCUUUGCAAAGAAGGCAGAUUUGAAGAAGCCUUUGAUCUUCUUGCAGAAAUGGAAGAGAAGAAGUUAGGGCCUGAUUGUUAUACAUAUAAUGCAAUUCUUUGUGCACUUGCUGAUGCAGGUACAAUGAAGGAGAAAGAGAUCAUUCCAAAUUCCAAAUAUCAUUGCAUAUGACAUUAUGAUUGGAGGGUUAUGCCGUUCUGGAAAAACUGAUCAAUCCAUUGACAAGUUGAAUGACUUCUAGAGAGUGGCUUGGUCCCUGAUCAAACCACAUAUAAUACAAUUAUUCUUGGAUAUUGCCGAGAGGGGCAAGUUGAGAAAGCAUUUCAGUUUCGUAACAAAAUGGUUGAGAAGUCAUUUAAACCAGAUCUGUUUACUUGUAAUAUUCUUCUUCGGGGGCUUUGUAGAGAAGGUAUGCUUGUUAAGGCUCUUAAGCUCUUCAACACAUGGAUUUCAAAGGGAAAAGCUAUUGAUGCUGUUACCUACAACACGAUAAUAUCAGGCCUUUGCAAAGAAGGCAGAUUUGAAGAAGCCUUUGAUCUUCUUGCAGAAAUGAAAGAAAAGAAGUUAGGGCCUGAUUGUUAUACAUAUAAUGCAAUUCUUUGUGCACUUGCUGAUGCAGG